rnacentral:rRNA from 1 species
GCGUUGUCCGGAUUUAUUGGGCGUAAAGAGCGUGUAGGCGGCUUUACAGGUCCGUUGUGAAAACUCGAGGCUCAACCUCGAGACGCCGGUGGAAACCGUAAAGCUAGAGUCCGGAAGAGGAGAGUGGAAUUCCUGGUGUAGCGGUGAAAUGCGCAGAUAUCAGGAAGAACACCCGUGGCGAAGGCGGCUCUCUGGGACGGUACUGACGCUGAGACGCGAAAGCGUG